rnacentral:rRNA from 1 species
UUGAAAAUUAUUAAGAGCUUGCGGGGAAUGCCUUGGCGUCAAAAAGCGAUGAAGGAGGUGGUAAGCUGCCAUAAGCUUCGGGGAGUAGCACACAUACAUUGAUCCGGAGAUGUCCGAAUGGGAAAACCCGCUGGUGUAUCCAGCACAAGAGAGUGAAUACAUAGCUCUCUUAGAGCGAACGAGGGGAAGUGAAACAUCUCAGUACCCUCAGGAAAAGAAAUCAAAGAGAUUCCCUCAGUAGCGGCGAGCGAAAAGGGACUAGCCCAAACCUUUUGGAUGUUAAAGAUUCCAGUCCUUGUCCAAAAGGGGUUAUGGGACUUUCAAAAAUGUCUGGAAACAUUUUAUGGAGUUACAAAAUGAGAUUUUAGUUUAAGGGUUUGGAAAAACCCACCAAAGAAGGUGAUAGUCCUGUAGGCGAAAAAGUCUCAUCUCCAGAAAGUAUCCCAAGUACCAUCCAGCACGUGGAAUUGGUUGGGAAUUUAGGGAGACCACUCUCUAAGGCUAAAUAUUCUUUGGCGACCGAUAGUGAACUUAGUACUGUGAAGGAAAGGUGAAAAGAACCCCGAGAGGGGAGUGAAACAGAACCUGAAACCGUAAGCUUACAAGCAGUGGAAGCACUAUGUAUAUCAAGUGUAACCAUGUACCUUUUGCAUAAUGAGCCAGCGAGUUAUUGUCUUAAGCUAGGUUAAGCCAAAUGAGGUGAAGCCAGAGCGAAAGCGAGUCUGAAUAGGGCGAUUCAGUUUAAGGCAUUAGACCCGAAACCCAGUGAGCUAUUUAUGGCCAGGGUGAAGCAUGGUUAAUCCUGUGUGGAGGCCCGAACCAAUGAAGAAUGCAACCUUCUUGGAUGAGCUGUGAAUAGGAGUGAAAGGCUAAUCAAACUGGGUGAUAGCUGGUUCUCCUCGAAAUAUAUUUAGGUAUAGCCUCGGAACAUUUUAUCACGGAGGUAGAGCACUGAAUGGGCUAGGGGUCUUACCGGAUUACCAAACCCAACCAAACUUCGAAUGCCGUAGAUAAUUAUUCCGGGAGUCAGUCAUGGGGUGAUAAGGUCCUGUGACGAAAGGGUAAGAGCCCAGACCAUCAGCUAAGGUCCCCAAAUCCAUACUCAGUGUGAAACGAUGUGAAGUUACCCGGACAACCAGGAGGUUGGCUUAGAAGCAGCAAUCCUUUAAAGAAAGCGUAAUAGCUCACUGGUCCAGUGACUUUGUGCGGAAGAUUUAACGGGGCUAAGUAUGGUACCGAAGCUAUGGAUUUGUCUUUUAGACAAGUGGUAGAGGAGCUUUGUAGCUUAGGCUGAAGGCUGACCGUGAGGACAGCUGGACGAACUACAAGUGAUCAUGCUGGCAUAAGUAACGUAUAAUAGAGGUGAAAAACCUCUACGCCGAAAACUCAAGGAUUCCUGGGCCAGGAUAAUCCUCCCAGGGUUAGUCGGGACCUAAGG